AAAUCUUUUUUUUCGAAAGCUCAAUAAGCAGGCGGGGCCGAUGGCCCGCACCAAGAAAAAGAUUUAUGCAUAAACAGCAGCACUUCACUGCCAACUUUUCCAGUUGAAAAGAAAACAAAAACAGAACAAAGAUACAAGAAAUAGUUCUUCUCAUUUCUUAUCUUCAAUCAAGCAUCAACUAUGCCUUUGCUUUGAUGCCAAUUAGCAAAAACUUGAAAGCUUAACUAAAAAGCACCUACCCAUUAUUUUAUUAUUCCUUUCACCCAAAACCCACUCUUAUUUUCUUCAAAUAGAAGCCAGAUACCCAAAAAUCUCAAACCAUAUCUCCAUCCAACAAGUCACAAUCACAAUCACAAUCACAAUUCAAAAACUUCUAUACCCUUUUCUACCCAAUUGUGUUUCUUGUAUC
rnacentral:misc_RNA from 1 species